AUUGCAUAGCAAGGGCCGGGCAAGACCGGUGCCAGCCGCCGCGGUAACACCGGCGGCCCGAGUGGUGGCCACUAUUAUUGGGUCUAAAGGGUCCGUAGCCGGUUUGGUCAGUCUUCCGGGAAAUCUGACGGCUCAACCGUUAGGCUUUCGGGGGAUACUACCAGGCUUGGGACCGGGAGAGGUAAGAGGUACUACGGGGGUAGGAGUGAAAUCUUGUAAUCCCUGUGGGACCACCAGUGGCGAAGGCGUCUUACCAGAACGGGUCCGACGGUGAGGGACGAAAGCUGGGGGCACGAACCGGAUUAGAUACCCGGGUAGUCCCAGCUGUAAACUAUGCUCGCUAGGUGUCAGGGACGGUGCGACCGUUUCUGGUGCCGCAGGGAAGCCGUGAAGCGAGCCACCUGGGAAGUACGGUCGCAAGGCUGAAACUUAAAGGAAUUGGCGGGGGAGCACUACAACGGGUGGAGCCUGCGGUUUAAUUGGACUCAACGCCGGAAAACUCACCGGGGGCGACAGCAAUAUGUAGGUCAAGCUAAAGACUUUACCAGAAUCGCUGAGAGGAGGUGCAUGGCCGUCGUCAGUUCGUACUGUGAAGCAUCCUGUUAAGUCAGGCAACGAGCGAGACCCGUGCCCACUGUUGCCAGCAUGUCCUUCGGGAUGAUGGGUACUCUGUGGGGACCGCCGAUGCUAAAUCGGAGGAAGGUGCGGGCUACGGUAGGUCAGUAUGCCCCGAAUCUCCCGGGCUACACGCGGGCUACAAUGACUGGGACAAUGGGCUCCUACCCCGAAAGGGGAUGGUAAUCUCAUAAACCCAGCCGUAGUUCGGAUCGAGGGCUGUAACCCGCCCUCGUGAAGCUGGAAUCCGUAGUAAUCGCGUUUCAACAUAGCGCGGUGAAUACGUCCCUGCUCCUUGCACACACCGCCCGUCAAACCACCCGAGUGAGGUAUGGGUGAGGGCAUGGACAUUGUGCUGUGCUCGAACCUAAAUUUUGCAAGGGGGGUUAAGUCGUAACAAGGUAGCC
rnacentral:rRNA from 1 species